rnacentral:rRNA from 1 species
CCUGGUUGAUUCUGCCAGUAGUCAUAUGCUUGUCUCAAAGAUUAAGCCAUGCAUGUCUAAGUAUAAGCAAUCUAUACGGUGAAACUGCGAAUGGCUCAUUAAAUCAGUUAUCGUUUAUUUGAUAGUACCUUACUACUUGGAUACCCGUGGUAAUUCUAGAGCUAAUACAUGCUGAAAGCCUCGACUUCGGAAGGGGUGUAUUUAUUAGAUAAAAAACCAAUGCCCUCCGGGGCUCCUUGGUGAUUCAUAAUAACUUGUCGAAUCGCAUGGCCUUGCGCCGGCGAUGGUUCAUUCAAAUUUCUGCCCUAUCAACUUUCGAUGGUAGGAUAGUGGCCUACCAUGGUGGCAACGGGUAACGGGGAAUUAGGGUUCGAUUCCGGAGAGGGAGCCUGAGAGACGGCUACCACAUCUAAGGAAGGCAGCAGGCGCGCAAAUUACCCAAUCCCGAUACGGGGAGGUAGUGACAAUAAAUACUGAUACAGGGCUCUUUCGGGUCUUGUAAUUGGAAUGAGUACAAUCUAAAUCCCUUAACGAGGAACAAUUGGAGGGCAAGUCUGGUGCCAGCAGCCGCGGUAAUUCCAGCUCCAAUAGCGUAUAUUAAAGUUGUUGCAGUUAAAAAGCUCGUAGUUGAACCUUGGGUCUGGCUGGCCGGUCCGCCUCACCGCGUGCACUGGUCCGGCCGGACCUUUCCUCCUGGGGAGCCUCAUGGCCUUCACUGGCUGUGGGGGGAACCAGGACUUUUACUGUGAAAAAAUUAGAGUGUUCAAAGCAGGCCUUUGCUCGGAUACAUUAGCAUGGAAUAAUAGAAUAGGACGUGUGGUUCUAUUUUGUUGGUUUCUAGGACCGCCGUAAUGAUUAAUAGGGAUGGUCGGGGGCGUCAGUAUUCGGCUGUCAGAGGUGAAAUUCUUGGAUUUGCUGAAGACUAACUA